UACGUAGGGGCCGAGCGUUGUCCGGAGUUAUUGGGCGUAAAGCGCGCGCAGGCGGCCUCGCGCGCCCGACGUGAAAGCCCCCGGCUUAACCGGGGAGGGUCGUUGGGGACGGCGGGGCUUGAGGGCGGGAUAGGUCGGUGGAAUUCCCGGUGUAGUGGUGAAAUGCGUAGAGAUCGGGAGGAACACCUGUGGCGAAGGCGGCCGACUGGGCCGACCCUGACGCUGAGGCGCGAAGGCGUGGGGAGCGAACGGG
rnacentral:rRNA from 1 species